rnacentral:rRNA from 1 species
CAGCCGCCACGGUAAUACGGAGGGUGCAAGCGUUAAUCGGAAUUACUGGGCGUAAAGCGCACGCAGGCGGUUUGUUAAGUCAGAUGUGAAAUCCCCGAGCUUAACUUGGGAACUGCAUUUGAAACUGGCAAGCUAGAGUCUUGUAGAGGGGGGUAGAAUUCCAGGUGUAGCGGUGAAAUGCGUAGCGAUCUGGAGGAAUACCGGUGGCGAAGGCGGCCCCCUGGACAAAGACUGACGCUCAGGUGCGAAAGCGUGGGGAGCAAACAGGAUUAGAUACCCCUGUAGUCCCUGUCUCUUAUAC